UUUCCUGAUUGUUUGUAAACAAGAACAAGAAGCACUGAAGUUAAAAGUUGGAAAGAUAGAGCCAUGCAUGAGAAAUCUGUUUAAAUUGUUGGUCAUGGAAGUCCAAGAAAUUCCACACGCAAUAUAGGCUAUUGGUGCCGCUCUUGAUUACCUCUCAGAAGUAAAGGGCAUGAAGACUGCACACUGGGGAUUUGCUCUCUGGAACCACUCACAGCGACUGUGAUAUGAAGUUCAUGGUAAAGGGUCCCAGUUUGACAUGAAUAUAACAGCGUGAUCCUGCUUGAACAGGCUUCAUACAUGGAGCGGGGCUGCCAUUGCUAAGGCAUAUAAACAAGAGAAAUGCAUCCAGAUCAGAUGUUUUGCCAAACAAUAUGGAAAAAUGCAUAUGUUCCCAAAUUGGAAACAACCCAAAUAUCGUUCAACAACAGAAUGGGAAUAGCUCAGUUAAAUGUUUUAUUAACCGUACAAUAGAAGAAUACCAACGAGCAAUAAAAACAAGCCAAUUGUACUCAACAACAUGGAUCAAUCACACAGACAAUACUGUAUGAAAUAGACUGAAGGCAUGCUAAACGCUCCCAGUUGUGUAACUUGAGAAGGUGGAAAAAUUAAUCCACAGUGUGAGGAUCCAGGACAGGGCUCUUAGAUCAGGAAAGGGGGACAUCUUGAUUGCUGGUGAUAACUAUUGUCUUCCUAAUCUAGGAACGGAAGUACGAACAUGUUUGCAUUGUGACAUUUACUUAUAUUUUUCUAUGAUUUAUUUGUCUCCUUUCCUGCAUAUAUACUAUGGUUCAGUAGAUGUUUUAUUUAAGAACAUAUAAAUCAAAUACAGUAAAACAGGCUUACUCUUUCAGUCUCAAACCCAAGUAUUUCUGUGAAGAAGGCCUGCUUGCAUAUUUUUUAAAUGCAUUAUUACAUGUGUGCAUGAUAUGUAUGCUCCUGGGCACAUAUGUCAUGGCCUGUGCAUGGUGCUCAGAGGUCAGCCCUACUUUUAUGUGAGUGGUGGGGGAGGGGAACUUAGGCAGCUUAGCUCUCAUGGCGAAUGCCUUUACCCACUUAGCCAUCUCUCUCUCAUCCUACAUCUUCUUCCCUUUUGUUAUAUUUUAAUUUCCAUUUUGAGUUCCAUCAAUUUCUUCAGAAUCAGCACAGCCCUGCUUCCUUACGCCAUGUUAUGCAUCUAGUCCAACCCUGCAAACUGCAUAGGAGUAAAGCUGGACCUAACUGACUAGUGUUCCUUGCCUAUCCAGGGUGAUAUCUGCUGAGUGCCAACAUCCACGCUUAUUGUCUUCAGAUCACACAAACGCCAACUGAGUCAUCCACAGCUAGAUAUAGACACUCUAAUGUUGUGCUUUAUAACUCCCAUUGGCUCGUCAGAGACAAAGGACUCGAGACUCUUUUCAAAUAAUCCAUAAGCAUCCAAGCUUCUGCAGCUUUCCUGUUAGGCUGAUCCUGCUUUCAGAAGCUGGCUAUCUCCUUAAAGCUAUGGUGUGUACCUUGAAUCCUUUAUAGUUCCUGUAGCUCUCAAGGUAUUGUGAAACUCAAAAGUCAGGACCCAAAUAGAGCUGAUAGGAGAGACAUUAAGUGCCCAGUGACACUCUUGGACCCAGAGAACUAAGAAGGAAGCAACAGGUACAAUUUCCUUGGAAAGUCACAUGAAACCUUGUCUUGCCUUCUCGAUACUUGAGCUGCCCAUGCCAAACCCAGGUUAUAUAUUCCUUACUUCACAAAUCUUACUGUCUAUAGAGAAGGGUGUAUAUUAUAUACAUUUCUAACUCUAAACCCAGCACUUAUUGGGUAGUUCCUUAAUAAAUUUGUGAG